rnacentral:rRNA from 1 species
UCUGGUUGAUUCUGCCAGUAGUCAUAUGCUUGUUUCAAGGACUAAGCCACGCAUGCCUCAGAAUCACUGCACUUGCAGGAAUCUGCGCAUGGCUCAUUACAUCAGACGUAAUCUGCCGCAAAUAUCUUGCGGUUUCCGCAAUACUGGAUACCUUGGCGAAACGCCAAGCUAAUACAUGAAUCUAACGGGCAUCCUCCGUUCCAUGCUGAGGAGAGUUCGCUCGAACCUGCAGCGAGGUGCCCUGCGAAUGAAUGAAAUUAAAACCAAUGCCGCGGACGCGGCAGCAUCACUGAGAAGUGUUGAAUCAAUUCAUUCCGUGCGAAAGCCGAAUUUUUCGGCGUCUUUUGACGAACAGCUGCCCUAUCAGCCUGUGAUGGCCGUGUAGUGGACUGCCAUGGCGUUGACGGGAGCGGGGGAUUAGGGUUCGAUUCCGGAGAGGGAGCCUGAGAAACGGCUACCACUUCUACGGAGGGCAGCAGGCGCGCAAAUUGCCCAAUGCCAAAAAAUUGGUGAGGCAGCGAAAAGAAAUAGGCCUCCUUGGUGCCAUUCGGCACCUGGGAGAUUCCAAUGGGGGAUAUUUAAACCCAUCGAACAUCGAGUACCAAUUGGAGGACAAGUCUGGUGCCAGCACCCGCGGUAAUUCCAGCUCCAAGAGCGUAUAUUAAUGCUGUUGCUGUUAAAGGGUUCGUAGUUGAAUUGAGGAUGUUUGGGUUCAUGUUGGUGCAGUCCCUUCAGGCUUCGUGCAGAAUGGUGGCUCCCACGCCUGACAUCCGUGAACGUUCAGAAACAAAGACUACGGGAUUUUGCUUCCUCUCAACAUCUCUCGCGUACAAUGCACGCCGUGUGAGGGGACGCCCGUAAUUUUUACUGUGACAAAAAAAGCGCGACCAAAGCAGUCAAGCGACAUGAAUUUUAAAGCAUGGGAUAACAACGAAGCAGCCUGCGGGUUACCGUUUCGGCUUUUGUUGGUUUUAAAGAUCUGUGGGAGAUUAUGGCAUGGUGUGACAAGCGCUUGGAAGCUUUCUUUCGAAUGUUCUUCCAACGCCUUCCCGCUGUGUUCCUGUUCGCGCAGGGCGCAGUCCGGUUCACCUUUGCUAGGAAUGAAGGAGGGUUGUUCGGGGGAGAACGUACUUGAGCGUGAGAGGUGAAAUUCUUAGACCGCUCAAAGACGAACUACAGCGAAGGCAUUCUCCAAGGAUACCUUCCUCAAUCAAGAACCAAAGUGCGGAGAUCGAAGAUGAUUAGAGACCAUUGUAGUCCGCGCCACAAACGGUGACCCCCAUGAAUUGGGGAGUAUUUGACUUGCUUGCGCCUGCCUUCCGGUAGGUUCGUCAAGCGGUCAAUAGUUACUCAACUUACGUGCACAUUCAACGCCCUGGACGUUAAACACCCAGGGUUCUACGGGAAUAUCCUCAGCACGUUCUCUGACUGUCUCACGCGAAAGCUUUGAGGUUACAGUCUCAGGGGGGAGUACGUUCGCAAGAGUGAAACUUAAAGAAAUUGACGGAAUGGCACCACAAGAUGUGGAGCGUGCGGUUUAAUUUGACACAACACGGGGAACUUUACCAGAUCCGGACAGGGUGAGGAUUGACA